GUUGAGAUGGCAGAGCCUGGAUAAUUGCAAAAGACCUAAGCCCUUUCCCCCAGAGGUUCAAAUCCUCUUCUCAACU
rnacentral:tRNA from 2 species